GCAGAAACAGAGAGAGAGGGAGAGAGAAAGGUUCGUUGGAGGUAGAAGAAGAAGAGACGAACUUUCAUCGAAUCAGGAUGUUUGUUCUCAUCUGGGCGACUCUGCUUUUCUCUGUGAGAUUUAGCGAUGCUGAGACAGGUUCUUCAGUGUCGGUGAAAACAAGUUGUCCGUUGACAGAUUACUGUAUCACUCUAGUUGAAGGAGAAAUAACAGCAGAGGCCGGACUCUGUGUCGUGAUACCAUGCUCCUUCACUGUUCCUGAGGAUAUCAAAGUCUUACAUAUAGUUUGGUUUAAAUGUAAAUCGACUGAAGGGAACUGUGGUGAUGGAGACAAGAUUUUCAACAGUAACACCUUCAGCGAUCAGGUUCAGUCGGAGUUUAAAGGACGAGUGUCACUGCUGGAGUCUGAUGUGAGCCAGAAAAACUGCAGCAUCAUCGUCAAUGACCUGAAGGAGUCGGACUCUGGAACAUAUCAACUCAGAGUUGAAGCUUCACCGAGUUCAGGUUCAUAUAAUUUCCUCCAAAGAGCAACUGUCUCUGUUCAAGGUAUGAACCAUCCUGCUGUAUGACAUGUUUGGUGUUUUGGGGCCAUAGGCUGCAAAUAAACAUGAACGACA